CGGAGUAGACUCGUCCGAUUUUGCGUAGACUUGGACAAGUUUGGGUAGACUCGCGAGUCUGCUCCG
rnacentral:pre_miRNA from 1 species